rnacentral:rRNA from 1 species
GACGUAGGAUGCGAGCGUUGUCCGGAUUUAUUGGGCGUAAAGAGCGUGUAGGCGGCUAGGUAGGUCCGUUGUGAAAACUCGAGGCUCAACCUCGAGACGUCGAUGGAAACCAUCUAGCUAGAGUCCGGAAGAGGAGAGUGGAAUUCCUGGUGUAGCGGUGAAAUGCGCAGAUAUCAGGAAGAACACCCGUGGCGAAGGCGGCUCUCUGGUACGUGACUGACGCUGAGACGCGAAAGCGUGGGGAGCGAACAGG